UACGAAGGGGGCUAGCGUUGCUCGGAAUCACUGGGCGUAAAGGGUGCGUAGGCGGGUCUUUAAGUCAGGGGUGAAAUCCUGGAGCUCAACUCCAGAACUGCCCUUGAUACUGAAGAUCUUGAGUUCGGGAGAGGUGAGUGGAACUGCGAGUGUAGAGGUGAAAUUCGUAGAUAUUCGCAAGAACACCAGUGGCGAAGGCGGCUCACUGGCCCGAUACUGACGCUGAGGUGCGAAAGCGUGGGGAGCAAACAGG
rnacentral:rRNA from 1 species